UGCCUUUGGUCUGUCUUUCUGAUGUAGGAGCAAGUGUCCCAAACCCUAAUGGAGCCACAAACACAAGCAUCGGUGGCCCAUGCCCACCUGGACACUUUUGCCCAGCUGGCACAAGUAUGCCACAGCCAUGCCCUGCGGGCACUUACUCAGACAGGCUGAAUGUGUGGCAGGACUCCGGCUGCACUGUGUGCCCGUCCGGCUCUUACUGCAGCUCUGCUGGCCUCACAGCACCCUCAGGACCCUGCUCAGCUGGGUACUACUGUCUGUCUGGAGCUUCCUCACCAUCUCCAGCUGGUGUGUGGGAGAAAGGAGGCCCUUGUCCUGUGAGCCAUUUCUGUCCAGAAGGGACCGGCUUUCCCCUACCCUGCCUUGCAGGGACUUACAACAACCUCACCAGACAAGCUGCAUGCUUCCCUUGUGCUGCAGGCUACUACUGCCCAGAAAAUGUCAGCAGCUACAGUAUGAAUCCUUGCC
rnacentral:lncRNA from 1 species